rnacentral:snRNA from 1 species
AUCGCUUCUCGGCCUUUUGGCUAAGAUCAAGUGUAGUAUCUCACAUUAGAAACAUUUUAAUAAACUAAUGUGCACAAAAUGAGGGGGCUUUACUUGUAUUUUAGAACUCUUCAAGGAUCUUAGAGAGUUUCUAGAUUGUCAACCUUUGAAAGAGCUGAAUA